GAUUCUGGGGACCAGGUGUGUGUAAUGAUGGGGACCAGGUGUGUGUAAUGACGGGGAGCAGGUGUGCGUAAUGAUGGGGACCAGGUGUCCGUAAUGAUGGGGACCAGGUGUGCGUAAUGAUGGGGACCAGGUGUGCGUAAUGAUGGGGACCAGGUGUGUGUAAUGAUGGGGACCAGGUGUGCGUAAUGAU